ensembl:lncRNA
GCCAUGUCACCCUCUGGUGUAAUAUCCAGUGCCUUGUCAAUUUUCUUCAGGCCUUGGGAUAAUUUCUGAGGUUUGUUCAUCAUCUGGGCUGUAUGAUUGGCUGGCGUUACCCAAACAGGUGAACCUAUCAGUGUUUGUACUUGAUCAUGAUUGGUCAGCUGGGUAAGUUUCAUGAGCCAAUUAGUGCUGGUGAUGUGCAUAUAAAAGGGGGAAGUGUUUGGUUGCUUGGGAUGCAUCCAGAAUACAAUGGGUACUGCCCAGUGUCAUCCUUGGUACCGUCCCUUUGUGACAUGUGGUGCUCCUGAAUGAGUGCAAGCAAUAAGGGCCUGCAAGUAACUGUAAUCCUGUGUGGUGAGCGACCAUGUGUAUUGCAGCCUUGUACUGGUUUCUACUUGUACUGGUUUGAUUGCACAUCCAGGGAUUUCCGGUGACCUUAAUUGAAGCCUUACAAACAUCAAGUGACUGCUCUGCUCUGUUUUGUUAUAGUUUUGUCUGGAAUUCAUCUGGGUCCGUCUGUUAUAUUGUUUUUGUAUUGUUUGAUGCGUGGAUUUAGGUGUGAGGCGUUGGCCAUGGUACCUUGUACUGCGUGUCCACAUGGAGUGCUAUGUUUAAUACUUGAUUUUUCACAAGAGUGCGUGUCAUGGGUAUUGAGUGUGGGGUAGAAAUCUGAUGGUCUUUGCUGGCCACCUCCCUCUUUAUUUUUCUUAUUGUUUUGUAUGUUACUGGUAAAGACUUGUGAUUUAUCAAGACCUUGUGUGAAGUGUUGUAUUCGUUUUAUUAAUUGUAUGUUAAUAAAGUGAUUUGUUUAUAUCGGUCUCUUUAUGCUCACCCUGCCUUUGGCAACGAACCUGUGUCCCUUUGCUUAGGGCUGUUAUGUCCCAGUGUAUUCUGGAUGGCGUCGUCAACUAUAGGAUUUCUUUAUUAUUGGUAACUUUCACACACCUGACCACUUCUUGCCACCAUGUUCCCAUGAACAUUUGCGAGAUUUAUUAAUUGAUGGACUAGAGUGGUGUGGAUUAUUGUCAUUGUUUUUAUCAGCUGUUUGGACUCAUACUGACAGCACCCAUUCA